rnacentral:tRNA from 11 species
GGAGAGAUGGUCGAGCUGGUUUAAGGCGCCGGUCUUGAAAACCGGAGUAGGCGCAAGCCUACCGUGAGUUCGAAUCUCACUCUCUCCGCCA